rnacentral:rRNA from 1 species
GAACGAACGCUGGCGGCGUGGAUUAGGCAUGCAAGUCGAGCGAGAAAGGGGAGCAAUCCCUGAGUAAAGCGGCGAACUGGUGAGUAACAGGUGGGCAAUGUGCCCCAAAGUGGGGGAUAACUCCGAGAAAUCGGGGCUAAUACCGCAUGUGGUGUUAUAGGCUUCGGCUCGUAACAUUAAAGAAGCGCUCCGCAAGGAGCAAUUCGCUAUGGGAUCGGCCCGCCCCGGAUUAGCUAGUUGGUGAGGUAACGGCUCACCAAGGCAACGAUCCGUAGCUGGUCUGAGAGGACGACCAGCCACAC